GAUGAACGCUGGCGGCGUGCCUAAUACAUGCAAGUCGAGCGAACAUACCGGGAGCUUGCUCCUCUGACGUUAGCGGCGGACGGUUGAGUAACCCGUUGAUACCCUACCUAUGAGACUGGGAUAACUUAGGGAAACCGGCGCUAAUACCGGAUAAUAUAUUGAACCGCAUGGUUCAAUCGUAAAAGACGGUUUUGCUGUCACUUAUUGAUGGAUCCGCGCCGCAUUAGCUAGUUGGUAAGGUAACGGCUUACCAAGGCGACGAUGCGUAGCCGACCUGAAAGGGUGAUCGGCCACACUGGAACGGAGACACGGUCCAGAGUCCUACGGGAGGCAGCAGUAGGGAAUCUGCCGGAAUGGGCGAAAGCCUGACGGAGCAACGCCGCGUGAGGGAUGAAGGUCUUCGGAUCGUAGAACUCGGUUAUUAGGGAAGAACAAAUGUGUAAGUAACGAUGCACGUCUUGACGGUACCUAAGCAGAAAGCCACGGCUAACUACGUG
rnacentral:rRNA from 1 species